ACGGCCAUACCAUGCGGAAAACACCGGUUCUCGUCCGAUCACCGAAGUUAAGCAUAAUCGGGCGUGAUCAGUAGUUGGG